AGAGCGGUCAGGUGAAGAGACAGGCAUUCUCAACAGGAGAAGCUGGAUUAGUCGCAUAGUGCAGCCUCAUCUGCCAGAGUCAGUCUCUACCCAGGAGAACGACGAGCAGACGAGGACGCUUGAGGCCUUGGAGGCCGUCGCCCGAAGGAGAGCACCUUCUACCCCGCAACCGCUGAGGGAUCUGCUGGAGGCCAUGGUAUUUGCCAGGGAAUGCCCCGCCAGCCUACGACCGGAACCCAGACCCUAGGCUCUUAGACAUCAGAUGGGCCUUGCUGAAUUGAACUUGCCAGCGUCGAGGCGGGAGUUACGACGUCCAGCCCUGCUGCUCCCAACAGAAUGGAGACAGUAACUGUAUCAGAGGCAGCCUCAACGAGCCCGGGAAGUUCCAGUGAUAAGAAGACAAUCCAAUAUAUCUACAUAUAACAUUAUCCGGAGAAACAGAGACUAAAGUAGAACAUUGUUGCAUAAUUUGCUUACCUGUGAAAAUUCAUUGUAACCUACAAUGACCAUUUGGAUGGGUGAAAGUUCCAUUUUUAUUUUACAAUUUGAUGUCUUGUAGUGUGGUAGUUGAUAAUUGCCGAACCAGACCAUGUAAUUUGCCCGACUAUCGGUGAAUAAGAUGCACAUUUGUUGUAGAUAUUUAACUUGAGGAUUGGAAUGUAAAACCUUGGAAUGAACAUUGAAAAGGAGAUUUGACGCACAGAAUAACGCAGUAACCACUGAUUAUCGCUUACCUGUAAUUGCCGUACCCAUGGGGAUGAAAACUUAACUUGUGGAAGUUAGGUUUUCAUUUAAGGAGGGGGCAAGUUGUUGUGCCGGCACCCCUUCCCACCCUUAUGUGGACCCCAAGUUUUUAAAGUUGUCAAUAUUAAACGUCGUUGCCCCACAUCUGGUGUGAAGCACGGGGUGGCCUUUGGAAUGUUAGGGUCGACGCAAUGGUAAGGAUCGCUCCCCAACUGCGUGAACAACGCAUGCAGAUAUCUCCCAUAUAUGGUCAUGGAAUGUGGAGCAGUCUUCCAUAUAUGGGCAAGUCAUGGUUUUGUCCGAUCAGAAGCGAUAUUUCAUGGCGGUCCCCAGGGCGCACAUCAACAUCAGCGUCCCUAGAAAUCCUAUAUAAGGUGCGAGAUUAUCUCCCGUCAGGUAUAUUUUUUUGGCAAUGAGUGUAGGCGGAACCUGUGUCACUGGUGGCCACAAUGGGGAACUGCGGUGAUUGGCAGCUGGGGUGAGUAGUAUCUAUUGUCUGUUGGUUGGUGACGAGUUAGGAGUUGGUCCUGGUUCGGACAUUGUGUACUUAAUAUUCUGUAAUUAUAUUAAUAGCGUA